ensembl:lncRNA
GGGCAAUACUGUCCUAGGUAGAUCUUUGCCGUCCUGGGAAGGGUUUUGUUUUCUGCCUCUUUCUCUCCCUCUCUGCCUUGGCCUUCUGUGCUCAACAGUUCCCUGUGGAUUGGCUGGGGUAGGUAAAGGCUAGCUGGGGGGGUGUCUUCUCCUUAACUUGCUGUUAAGGCAGGGCUCCUCAAACAUGAAUGAACCCCCGGGGCAUCUUGUUAACAUGUAGAUUCUGGUGCAGUAGGUCUGGGGCUGGACAAACACUCUGCAUCUCUAAAAGCUCACAGAUGAUCUCCAUCCCCAAACUCUUCCUCAGCCCGGAACAUGGUCUUUAGCCGCCCGCAGCCGCGUGUGCUAAUCCAAAUUCCUAAUCGUCUUCCUCCAAACUUCUUUCCCAAAGGACAAAAUCCUGCCGGGGCCCCCUGGAGGUGGGAAGAUGAGUGUUUUCUGCCAUCAUCAGACAUGGGGACCCAAGGUCAAGGAUUUCAAGAUCCUUCCCUGUGCUCCCCUGCUGCUUAGCUGGGACAGGCCUGUCUUCCACAGUCUCUGUGUCCCCCAGGGGACAAAGAAAGGAGAGCAUGGAAGGGCCCCGAGUUUCCUACUUGGGGUUCCCCAGGGGAAGUGUAAGCCAGAGAGCACCUACCAUAACCACCCAACCAUCCACGGAAGGAGAGAGAAACAGCCCGGCCUGCAGCUUUGCCCUGUGUUCCAGGAUCACCUCUGCGAAGAUGCUUGCUGAGGUGACCACCAGAGGAGCCUCUCCCUGCAGUGACACUCUGCCCCGAGCCUGCUGGGAAGGGCACAGAGCCCACCGGAAAAAUGACUCCUGAGCCAAAGAACACACAUCGGUCCCCACACUGUGAGUUUUUGGCACAGGGAGAAGGGAGAGGGGGAGGACGAUCUGUCACUGCCGGGGCCAAGCCUUCCCCUCUCUGCACCUCAGUCUCCCCACCUGCAAAAUGGGAGCAAAGCUCCCCAGGGUGACAGCACCAAACACGGGUGAGGGUGUGGAGACACAGGGACUGUCCUUCAUCGCUGGUGCAAACGCAAGGUGGCACAGCCACUUUGGAAGACAGGGUGACAGUGUCUUACCAGAUUAAACAUACUCUUACCAUACGAUCCAUUGAUUAUGCUCCUUGGAAUUUACCCAAAGGAGUUGAAAACCUACAUCGACACAAACACCCACAGGAGGUGUUUAUAGCGGUAAACAGCCUCGUUCGUAAUUGCCCAAACUUGGAAGCAACCGAGAUGUCCUUCAGCAGGGGAGUGGGUAACCCUCAACAGUACAUCCAGACAACGGAAUAUCAUUCAGCACUAAAAAGAAAUGAGCUCUCAAGCCAGGAAAAGACACGGAGGAACCUGACGCGCAUGUCAUGAAGUGAAGGAAGUCUGUCUGAAAAGGCCACAUACGGUAUGAUUCCAGCUACAUGACCUUCUGGAAAAGGCAAGCUAUGGAGACAGCAAACAGAUCAGAGGCUGCCAGGGGCAAAGGGGAGACGGGAGGAAUAGGCGGGGCACAGAGGAUUUUGGAGCAGUGAAACUAUUCUGUACGCUCCUUAACGGUAGGCACAGGACAUCACACAUUUGUCGAAACCCACAGACUGAACGACACCAGGCAGGAACCCUGAUGCAAGCUAUGGACUUUGGGUGACAAUGACGUGUCAGUGUAGGUUUAUGGAUCGUAGCAAAUGUCCCGCUCUGCCGUGUGCAGGACGUUGAUAGAAAGGCGAUGUCUGUGUUUGGGGGCAGGGGUGGGUGGGCAGUCUGUAUUUUCUGCUCUAUUUUGCCGUCAGCCUAAAACUGCCCUAAAAAAUAAAAAUCUAUUUUAAAUGUCUGUUUAUGUACUUUGGACAGAGAGAGUGCAAGGAGGGGAGGGGCUUAGGUGGGAGACAGAGGAUCCCAAGCAGGCUCUGUGCUGACAGCAGAGAGCCUGAUGCGGGGCUCGAACUCACAAACCGUGAGACCAUGACCUGAGCUGAGGUUGGACCCUUAACCGACUGAGCCCCCAGGUGCCCCAGUAAAAACCCAUUUUAUAAAACGGAGGCAACGGGCGCCUGGGUGGCUCAGUCGGUUGAGCGUCCGACUUCGGCUCAGGUCAUGACCUCACGGUUUGUGGGUUUGAGCCCCAUGACGGCCUCUGUGCUGACAGCUCAGAGCCUGGAGCCUGCUUCGGAUUCUGUGCCUCCCUCUCUCUCUGUCCCUCUCCUGCUCUCUCUCUCUCUCAAAAAUGAAUAAACAUUAAAAAAAGAAAAAAAAAAAAAAACGGAGGCAAAAUGACCAGGUCUCAGGCUAGGAUAAACAAGCCUGUGCCCCUGGAGACAGUUUGUAGACAGCAAGUCAGUUUAUUAGUAUGAGGGACUGGUGAUACUAUGUUCUUAAAUCCCAGCUGUGCCAGAAAUCGGCGGUGGAGUUCAGGUCAGUCAUUUUGACUUUUUGGGUCCCUGUGUCCUUAGUUACAAACCAAGAAAAAAAAAAAAAACUUGCUCUUUGUUCCCGUCCCCAUGACAACCUCUCAGAGAAUAAGUAGUGAUAAUGAUGAUAAUAGCCACCAUUUAUGUCUAGGCACUGUGUUAAGCACUCUAUGCUUAUUAUUUCAUUUAAUCCUUACAACCAUCCGGAUUUUGCAGAUGAGAAACUGAAGCAUGGGAUUGGGGUAAGGGGGGGAGCAGCAGGUGGGGUGGGGAGCAGGCAGCUCGCCCUGGGUCACCCAGCCAGUCGGUGGCAAAGAAGGUUCUGGAAGCCCCAAUGCUUGUAUUCAAUCUCCAGGUUUACCCCAUGCCUUCAGGGGUUGGCCCCCCGUUGCCUGAUCCCCGGGGAUUGGCUUCAUAAUAACAAAUGAGGGCCAUAACCAACAUCCCUCUAGGACUUACCGUAGCCAGGACUAUCCUUUAAAGCAUGUGACAUAUGUCAUCUCACUUAUUCCUUGCAAGAACUCUGUGAAACAGGUUCUGUUUUUAUGCCCACUUUCGGAUGAGAAAAUUGAAGCGUGGAAGUCAAAGAACAAGAAGCGUCAGACCCAAGAAGGAGGGUGGGGAUCAGCGGGUCGGAGUUUUUUAUUAAAUACUUUGCAUCACUGUACCCCGCCCCCCAGGUCCUCGGGCUGCUACGAGGUCAGUAGAGUCAGGCAUGAGUGAGCAAGAGAGAGAGAGAAAUGCACACUGUGCUGAGCUGUUGCUGCAAAAUCCUUCCUUUUGGACCCCAGCAAAUCGAUAGUCAAGAGAGGCCAAACCUGGGCCCCCAGCGCCCUGGCUCCUGCCACAUUCACCCCAGGAGCACCGGGCAGCACUACUGGGCUCCUCCCCCCUUGUGACUUCUGCUGCCACAUUCCAGGCCAGGAAAGGAAAGCCAGGAGCAGGGGAGCCUAAUUUGCUCUUUCGCCACGCCACAGAGGAGGCCUGUGGAGAAUGGAUGGGUCACGGCGUAGGGAGGGGGCAGGCAGGAGCCUGGAGCAGCGAGGCUUCCAGGGCCAGAAGCAGGUCUUUGCAGCAUGUGACUCCCUGCAGGUGUGACCCGAGGCUGGAGGGGAGGGGACGGCCCGGGGUCUCUACAGGCACCUCCUGUAUCCACAAGACUGAGACAGGAUUUUAAGUGGGGGCCCCUCAGAGAGGAUGUUUUGGGUGGUGGUAAGGAGCAUCAGACUUCAGAGUCAGCCCCAUCUGAGUCCAAAUCCUGUCUCUGCCACUCGCUGGCUGUGUGACCUUCGUGGAAUUACCUAACCUCUCCGGGCCUGUUUCCUCUUCUAUCAAACAGAGAAAAUGAUUGACAGCAGCCACCUGCUGGGGCAAAGUCUGUCCCUGGCCUGGGAUGGAGACUGGGGAGAGUAAGGGCUCAGGAUAUACUGGCUGCUUAUCUGCUGUACAUUGGGAUUCCGAAUAAUGCCUGCCUUGUUGCGAAGCUUAAAUGAGUAGCAUCCACGAAAAGUGCUUAGGAAGGACCCCGGCACAGAGAAGGUGCUAUUUUUAACAUUAACACCCUCUUUGCUCCCACCCUUCUCAC